CGAGUAAAUCAGAUAAUCGCGGCCACAGGUAACUGUGGACGAGGAAAGUCCGAGCUCCAUAGGGCAGGGUGCUGGGUAAUACCCAGUGGAGGUGACUCCAAGGAAAGUGCAACAGAGAGAUACCGCCUUUUACAUCUGUAAAAGGUAAGGGUGGAAAGGUGAGGUAAGAGCUCACCAGCAGCUAGGCGACUAGUUGGCUAUGUAAACCCCAUCUGGAGCAAGACCAAGUAGGGACAGAAAAACGGCGGCCCGUCGUGUCCCGUGGUAGGUCGCUUGAGUCAAUUGGCAACAAUUGACCUAGAUAGAUGAUUAUCGAAUACAGAACUCGGCUUAUAGAUUUGCUCGCUUU
rnacentral:RNase_P_RNA from 1 species